UACGUAGGGGGCAAGCGUUGUCCGGAUUUAUUGGGCGUAAAGAGCGUGUAGGCGGUUAUACAGGUCCGCUGUGAAAACUGGAGGCUUAACCUCCAGACGUCGGUGGAAACCGUAUAACUAGAGUCCGGAAGAGGAGAGUGGAAUUCCUCGGUGUAGCGGUGAAAUGCGCAGAUAUCAGGAAGAACACCCGUGGCGAAGGCGGCUCUCUGGGACGGUACUGACGCUGGAGACGC
rnacentral:rRNA from 1 species